AGAGGAUUCAUACAUUGAUUUUAGGAUAUUUUUUAACUUGAGGGUAAUAUAGACUUUUUCCAACUAAUUUGUACAUCUUUUUUAAAAUUCAUCUCAAAACUCCUUACAUCCUUCCAAAUUAUCCUAUUUCUCAUAAUCCCCCAUCUUCUUCCUCUUUCUUUUUCGUUCAGAUCCACGGUCAUCGCCCACCCUUCAACCUCACGCUGACUUCCUCUCCCCCUCCAUCUUCUUUCUCCUUCUUCUUCUUCCCGUAACCUACCUCCAAUCGACCACCAAAUUUCUUUUCUUUUCUGUUCUCGUUUGUCUUCAACAGUCGUGCCUCAAGUCGUUGCUGUCACCGUUUGUCUCUCCCUCGUCCAGUCAAAACCGAAUCGAACUCGCCAUCCGUUCAUCCUCUUCGGCGUUCGGUCUUCAAUCGUUAAGUGCAACCAGUGAUUCGUCCUGUUCGCGCCCCUCUUUCCGUCGGUAAAGCCGUUACCGUGCACAUCUGCCACAGACGAGCCACUCGCCGUUCGUGAAGCCCCAACUGUCGUGCCUGCUACGUCCGCGCCGGUCUUCACCGUGGAACCAGCCGUCGUCUGCUCUGUUUCCAUUGGAACCGAAACGUCUCCCUCAAAUCUGUUUUUCUUCCAGUCGUCCGUUCCAUUUCGCGCAACCUCCGCGUGACUCCUCGACGCAUAACCCCUUCGAUCGAGCCGUCCACCUUUCUUUACGCCGAUCUGUCCCCGUUCUGCAAAGCGCCGCCGCGUCCGUUCAUCUGCCGAUCGUGAGACAGUGUGCGUUUCUCCUCUCAACCGCGCGGGUUCUCUGCGUAUCGUGCGUGACUUUUCUUCGAUCAUCGCUCCUACCUUGCUGUGAAUCGUUGGGUGGAAGUUUUGGGUAAAAUUGAGGUGGCAAAGGUAACAAGAGUGGCAAACCGGCGAGGGGCAGGAAGGAAGUGUGAUUGCCAUAGGGAACAUCUUUAUUUUGAUUCCGCUUUAUGUUUUUUAUGUUUAAAACAUUAUGUUGGAACUUAGUUUACAAACUAUACUUUUAAAGUUUUAGUUGUUUGAAAUCGGGCCUGUUUAAAGUUGUUUUUCCUCGAUUGUAUGUUUUUCAAAUGUCUUAUAUUCAUUUUGUAUCCAUUGAGAUCUUUUGUCUAAAGUUAAUGACCUCUACUUAGAUAGAAACGUUGGUCAUUAUAAUUGUGAAGCUCCACGUCAUGAAUUUAAAUCUCUACAGGUAAUCACAUUGGAAUCCGA